rnacentral:misc_RNA from 1 species
UCUUUGUGGAAGAGAAAGCUUUAUGAAGUGAUUUCGGAUCCAAUCACAAGGACCUUAUUUUAGUUCUAAACUCUAGAUAUGUAUGUUUGCAUGUAUAGUAACUAUUGGUCCAUGCNNNNNNNNNUAUUUGAUUAAUGUAACACAUUCGGUUUUAAGGAUGAUAAACUUGUGGAAAACUGUCUUUGGGAAUAAAACUUGAUAAAGCUUUCUCUU